rnacentral:rRNA from 1 species
GAUGAACGCUAGCGGCAGGCCUAACACAUGCAAGUCGAGGGGUAGAGUUAGCUUGCUAACUUGAGACCGGCGCACGGGUGCGUAACGCGUAUGCAAUCUACCUUGUACAGGGGGAUAGCCCAGAGAAAUUUGGAUUAAUACCCCAUGGUGUUUAGAAGUGGCAUCACUUUUUUAUUAAAGUUCCAACGGUACAAGAUGAGCAUGCGUCCCUUUAGCUAGUUGGUAUGGUAACGGCAUACCAAGGCUAUGAUGGGUAGGGGUCCUGAGAGGGGGAGCCCCCACACUGGUACUGAGACACGGACCAGACUCCUACGGGAGGCAGCAGUGAGGAAUAUUGGUCAAUGGUCGCAAGACUGAACCAGCCAUGCCGCGUGCAGGAAGACGGUCCUAUGGAUUGUAAACUGCUUUUAUACAGGAAGAAACCCUCUCACGUGUGGGAGCUUGACGGUACUGUAUGAAUAAGCAUCGGCUAACUCCGUGCCAGCAGCCGCCGUAA